AUUGAACGCUGGCGGCAGGCCUAACACAUGCAAGUCGAACGGUAACAGGAAGAAGCUUGCUUCUUUGCUGACGAGUGGCGGACGGGUGAGUAAUGUCUGGGAAACUGCCUGAUGGAGGGGGAUAACUACUGGAAACGGUAGCUAAUACCGCAUAACGUCGCAAGACCAAAGAGGGGGACCUUCGGGCCUCUUGCCAUCGGAUGUGCCCAGAUGGGAUUAGCUAGUAGGUGGGGUAACGGCUCACCUAGGCGACGAUCCCUAGCUGGUCUGAGAGGAUGACCAGCCACACUGGAACUGAGACACGGUCCAGACUCCUACGGGAGGCAGCAGUGGGGAAUAUUGCACAAUGGGCGCAAGCCUGAUGCAGCCAUGCCGCGUGUAUGAAGAAGGCCUUCGGGUUGUAAAGUACUCUCAGCGGGGAGGAAGGGAGUAAAGUUAAUACCUUUGCUCAUUGACGUUACCCGCAGAAGAAGCACCGGCUAACUCCGUG
rnacentral:rRNA from 1 species